rnacentral:rRNA from 1 species
GACGAACGCUGGCGGCGUGCUUAACACAUGCAAGUCGAACGAAAAUACCAAGCUUGCUUGGUUGAUUAGUGGCGAACGGGUGAGUAACACGUGAGUAACCUGCCCCUUACUUUCCUGGAUAACUGCUCGAAAGGGUAGCUAAUACGGGAUAUUCUGACCAGCCUGCAUGGGUUGGUUUGGAAAGGUUGUUUUUCUGGUAAGGGAUGGGCUCGCGGCCUAUCAGCUUGUUGGUGGGGUGAUGGCCUACCAAGGCUUUGACGGGUAGCCGGCCUGAGAGAGUGGACGGUCACACUGGGACUGAGAUACGGCCCAGACUCCUACGGGAGGCAGCAGUGGGGAAUAUUGCACAAUGGGCGCAAGCCUGAUGCAGCGACGCCGCGUGAGGGAUGAAGGCCUUCGGGUUGUAAACCUCUUUCGUCAGGGAACAAGGCACUGCUUUUUUGGUGGUGUUGAGGGUACCUGGAUAAGAAGCGCCGGCUAACUACGUG